rnacentral:lncRNA from 1 species
CUAUGAUUGAAGAGAGUACGCAUCUCCCCAUCAGCAAGUGAAGGCAAAGUGGGUGGGAGACAGGAGGGAAGGGAAGGGAAGGGAAGGGAAGGGAAGGGAAGGGAAGGGAAGGGAAGGGGAGGGCCUAGAUGCUUGGCAGGUCUGAAUACAGUUCAUCUCUCUGUGGUUGUUGUAAAAAACAUCUUACAGCCAUUUCUCUCCAUUAAAGCCCUGAUGACUGACAAAUGCUCUGUUUGCUCUAAGAUUGCCUCUUCAUCUUUGGGAAGAGAUAGUGCAGCUGAAUACAGCUCAGCCUUCAUUUGUUUGGAAUCACUUCAUGCUUUUCUCCUCUGCUGGUGGAUUUCUUAAUGCCUGCAAAUAUCGUUCUCUCAUGAAGGCCUCAUUAAUAAUUAUUUCUAUUUCCUUUAUUUUCUGCAGGGACAUACCAGCUCAGGAAGAGUGGUUUCCAGUGGGAGAUAAUGUUUCUUCAGGACUUUCCAUCCCAUGUGUAACAGCAAAGACUUAAUUGCUUAAGCUCAAGCUGGAACUGGGAAAAUCUGUCUUUUGUUCUUGCACCAAGAAAACCAUCAGCAGUGUGCAGUUUGGGAAAAGGAGCCAUACACCAAACAUACUGCUCCUUUUCCAACACGGGAGAUGGCAGUUCAGGUAGCUGUAGCCUUUUAAGGACCUCAGAAAAACUUUCUGUGGUAUGUGUUUAUGUGGGAACUCAAUAGAGGACAAUUUGAUAUUAUUGAUAGUGACACUGAUGCUUCGGUGGGAACUCUAGGUCAAACCAAAGACUACAUUCAAAAUAGCAGACUGGAUCUUCCUAAUGUAAGGCACAUUUCAGAUGGAGCUGAACACUCUGCACGCAGACUUUGCGGAACAUCUCUGAAUAACUAAGUAACAGCAAAGUUCUUCAUUUUGUAAAUGCUGAAAUGAAACUUUUUCAAUUUAAAACACCAGGUUUUAUCUCUGAAAAAAGAAUUUUAUAUAAAUUUGCAUUUUAAAAUCCAAGUCUGUAUUGUUGGGUUACUAUAAAUUUAAGGUCCUAUAUUUCAGGCAGCUUCUGUGGUAACUGUGGCUACUUUCUAGCUCUGAAGAAAGUUACUAACUUUCUGGUUCAGUGUUUGAUUUGCAAAGAGAACAAGGCUGAAGUAAUGGUGCAUUUGCAUUUUCCAGCAGAUUUGCGGCCAAUAUAUGAUGCACUUUCUGUCAGAAGCAAUAAUUUAUUACAGCUUAUAUGAUAAAUAGCUUAGAAAUCAAAUCAGUUAUGGAGAGCUUUAUGCUAUUUAUUUCCAAUCAGAUAAAGAGGAAUUUACUACUUCUAGGGAAAAAAAAUAUAAAAAGUUAAAAAGCCACUUGCACAACAUUUUGGAUGGAACUCUUAAACUAUAAUGCAUCCCUAGAAUACUAUUCCAGGGAUAUAUUAUAGUCAUAUGAUCAUAGAAUGAUUAGAAAUCCGUAACAGAGUAUUCGUUUGCCAGGUAUACAUAUAAAAAGACCUCUUAUCCAUGCAAUUUGACUUCCAUCCACUCGAACAAUUUUGUUCAUUAGAUACUGGUGUGGAAUGUAAUCCAUCUAAAAGAAUGAACCAUUUUUCUGGUACAGGACAGUUUAUUAUUCUAAAAGCUCUUUCGUUAUAUCCCUUGUAUUAUGAAGGCAAGAGACAUCCUGCUUAUUAUUUAGCCUGAGAGCAAUGUACAUGGUCACAAUAAACAGUGAAAAUGUCUGUAGGUGUGUGCGUGU